rnacentral:rRNA from 1 species
UUCGGCGGGCCCGCCUUAACUGGCCGCCGGGGGGCUCACGCCCCCGGGCCCGCGCCCGCCGAAGACACCCUCGAACUCUGUCUGAAGAUUGUAGUCUGAGUGAAAAUAUAAAUUAUUUAAAACUUUCAACAACGGAUCUCUUGGUUCCGGCAUCGAUGAAGAACGCAGCGAAAUGCGAUACGUAAUGUGAAUUGCAAAUUCAGUGAAUCAUCGAGUCUUUGAACGCACAUUGCGCCCCCUGGUAUUCCGGGGGGCAUGCCUGUCCGAGCGUCAUUGCUGCCCUCAAGCACGGCUUGUGUGUUGGGCCCCGUCCUCCGAUUCCGGGGGACGGGCCCGAAAGGCAGCGGCGGCACCGCGUCCGGUCCUCGAGCGUAUGGGGCUUUGUCACCCGCUCUGUAGGCCCGGCCGGCGCUUGCCGAUCAACCCAAAUUUUUAUCCAGGUUGACCUCGGAUCAGGUAGGGAUACCCGCUGAACUUAAGCAUAU